AAUAGAUACCCAGGUAGUCCAUGCCGUAAACGUUGGGAACUAGAUGGUAGGGACCAUUCCACGGUUUCUGUGUCGCAGCUAACGCAUUAAGUUCCCCGCCUGGGGAGUACGGCCGCAAGGCUAAAACUCAAAAAAAAAAGGAUUGACGGGGGCCCGCACAAGCGGCGGAGCAUGCGGAUUAAUUCGAUGCAAUGCGAAGAACCUUACCAAGGCUUGACAUAUACCGGAAAGCUGCAGAAAUGUAGCCCCCGCAAGGUCGGUAUACAGGUGGUGCAUGGUUGUCGUCAGCUCGUGUCGUGAGAUGUUGGGUUAAGUCCCGCAACGAGCGCAACCCUCGUCCUUUGUUGCCAGCACGUAAUGGUGGGAACUCAAGGGGAGACUGCCGGGGUCAACUCGGAGGAAGGUGGGGAUGACGUCAAAUCAUCAUGCCCCUUAUGUCUUGGGCUUCACGCAUGCUACAAUGGCCGGUCAAAGGGCUGCAAUACCGUAAGGUGGAGCGAAUCCCAAAAAGCCGGUCUCAGUUCGGAUUGAGGU
rnacentral:rRNA from 1 species